CUCAUCUGUGUUCCUGUCUUCUCAAAAUCUGCAUUGACUCCAUUUGCACAGGAUUCAUUCAUCUCAUCUAAUCUCAUCUGAUAGUUCGUUUUAACAGCAGCUGAGAGGAUGCGGGUUCGAGUGCUGCUGAUCCUGAUACUCACAUCAGUAUUAAUCACACAUGCUCAAGGUCUUGCUCUGAUGUAUAUUCUUGAGAACAGUUUCAAAGCUGAAUCUGGAUCCAGGUCUGAUGUUCCUAAGAUUGUGAUUCUGAUCACGGAUGGGAAAUCUCAGGACGAUGU